CUGACGUCAGCUCGCAGGAUCUCUGUACGUGCGCGCGCCGCCUUGGAUGACAGGAGAGCUGGGCCGCUGUUGCUGUGGGGGCAGCCUGCAUAGCAACGGGGCUACCACCAGGCUGAUUUGUGAGCCAAUCAGGCAGAGCUUCUGUUGUGACGGCUGUGUUGUUUGACGUUUUUAUUGGUUGGGUGCUGAGGCACGUCACUGCAGUAGCUGCGCGUCACGCGCGGACUCUCGGCCGUUCCGGCUUCUGCCUGGAAACACCAACAGACCCGCUGGAGCUCGAGGCCUGGAGUCUAGAGCCGGCCAUGGGCGGAGGUCAAAGCACUGAUUCCACUGCAGAUCUGAGGCAGAAGAACAAGGGAUGUCUGCCAUCCCAAAACAGUGAGCCACCACCCAGUCAGAGUCCAGACACAGAUCAUGGGAGCCCUUCACUGGAACCAGACUCAGAGUUGCCGCAACGGAGGAUAUGCAGCAAAAAUGUGGAUGACAUGAGCUUCAUGAUAUCAUGCACAAACUGGUACUAGAGGUACAUUAAUUGAACUGUCGCUUUAAUUUUGUGAGAGCUAAAUUUAGCAUAUAGUCUAAUCAGCAUAAAUCGCAAUGUUGAAGCCCAAGCUCUAGAACUGUUUUACCUGUCCCAACAUGUGCACACAUCUAAGGUUCUUCAGAAAUCAACAGAAUUCUGUUCACUUGCUCCCUAAUAUAUGAACAUUAACCAGAUAAUCAAUGAUAUUUGUGUCACACUUGUGUGGUUUUAAUGUAAUGGCUGAUCAGUGUACACCCAAGCAACAUAAAACUACAAUUCAUGCAAGAGCUUGUAAUCUACAUCAAUGGGUUCCCGCACAUUCAAGAAAGCCUUUUUAGCUGUCUAUAAUGCUGCACUGUCAUGCUGACAGAUACACCUUUUCCAUGUUUUUAUUAAUCAGUUCAACAGUAUAUUAUAACCCACUGUUUUUGCAUGUUUCUCAAUAGUGUGUAAAAAAUUAUAAUAAAAUAAUACAGGGACCCUUUAAAUUACCCAUAUGUGCAGCCCUCUUCUAUGUUUGUGACUUUUUGUGUAAUGUACAAGUCUAUAAAACCAUCAUUAAACCUUUCACCACAAUAACAUAUCCAGGAUUAAAACACUAAAUGAUUUACAGCUAUUUAUAUAUUUAAGAAAGGAGUUGCAGAUGUGUACCAAUAAACAUCAGUAAAUUACUUGACUAAA